rnacentral:rRNA from 1 species
CCUACGGGAGGCUGCAGUGGGGAAUAUUGCACAAUGGGGGGAACCCUGAUGCAGCAAUGCCGCGUGGGUGAAGAAGCACUCCGGUGCGUAAAGCCCUGUCAGCAGGGAAGAAAAUGACAGUACCUGGACAAGAAGCCCCGGCUAACUACGUGCCAGCAGCCGCGGUAAUACGUAGGAUGCGAGCGUUAUCCGGAUUUAGUGGGUUUUAAGGGUGCGCAGGCGGUCUGUUAAGUCAGCGGUCAAAGCCCGGGGCUCAACCCCGGCCCGCCGUUGAAACUGGCAGUCUCGAGUUGGAGAGAGGUAGGCGGAAUGCGCGGUGUAGCGGUGAAAUGCAUAGAUAUCGCGCAGAACUCCGAUUGCGAAGGCAGCAUGCCGGCUCCACACUGACGCUGAGGCACGAAAGCGUGGGUAUCGAACAGGAUUAGAUACCCCUGUAGUC